rfam:Hordeum vulgare subsp. vulgare, WGS project CAJW01000000 data, contig: morex_contig_46912
GUUAUACUCCCUUCAUCCGGAAAUACCUGUCAUGGUAACGGAUGUAUCUAGAUGUAUUUUAGUUUUAGAUACAUCCAUUUUUAUACAUUUGUGUGACAAGUAAUUCCGUACGGAGGGAGUAUAUC